GCUCGGGGUUAGGCUGGGCAUCGGUCUGCGAGUGCUAUUACAUACAGAUGCCAAUGACUAUAUGAGGCAGGAGUCUGGGCUGAAUCAAAUCCUCUGCUGUCUGGUUUAUCACCACCUCCUGUGUUUAUACAAAACUCUGGAAAUUUAGACGAACUCCGAGAUGCUUAGAGAGUCAGAGAAAAUACAUAUAGAUAUACAUGUGUGUACUUUCCUAUGUCUACAGAUUUUGAAAAAGAUUGUCACACCUUUGUCUCUAGUGUGGUCCUUCUCAAAAAUCUGGAAAGGGAUGACUUCAGUUCUCAAAGACAAACAAAGUUCAUUACAACUACUGAAUCAUUACUGGCACAACGAAGAAGAUACAAACCACCUAAGAGUUGCAGAUAUCAAGGAAGACACAACAGGAAUGGAAUCUGCACCUGCUAAAAAGUGCAGGCUGGAGCAGAGAAACUGAACCCUUACAGACCCAAUGUAUUCGUGUGCAGGUUUCUUACAAAGCCAGGUAUUUUUCCCUUGAAUAAAUUCAAGUGUUUAAAGUAGGUUUCAUCUGAGUAAUAUUCCAGCCACCACAAACACUGGAAGAAAGGCAUUCUUUAAGCUACCUGAAAAAGCGUAGCAACAUUUCAAUUCUGCUUAUCCAUUCAUUUUACAAAAACAACAUAUUGAAAACAUCAUUUAAAGAACUUCUAUUAUCUUUAUUAUAUAUUAGAAUUAGGAAGUUAAUGAAAUAGAAAUAAACCAAAUGCUUCUUUCAGGCAGGGUGAAAUAAAUUACAUACUGCUUCCAAAAUAGUAGCCAUUCAAGUCUGAGUCUUCAAAGCAUCACUUUUCCUCUUAGAAAACAGAAGCACAGAAUAGAAAAUAUUACCCCUAUGAAAUAAAAGUCCAGUGGAAUGGGAUGCUACAAGCAGUACCCUAACUUUAUCAUCUUUCACAUUUUCUAUGUUUAGCUAAGGUGCUUUGGCUGGACAAUGUUUGCAUACAAAAGCUAUAGUAAAGAAGAGAUCAUUCAGGUUGAUAUGACCUUGGACUUCCAAGCACUAUAGAAUACAGUCAGACUCCUCCAGGAAAAUAAAUCUCAGUAUUACAGAUCUCACAUUUGUAACACUGACAAGACUUCAGGUACUCAAAAGCACCACUCUAUGUUUUGUGCCAGUUUCAGCUUCCUUAAGAUUUCAGGGAAGACCCAAAAGGUAUGGAGAGCAAUAUCACAAUCUCAAAUAUUUUAGCUAUAUUUCUAAUCAUGAGAGAUUCUGUUUAUCCUGUUAGCUACCCGUUCAAGCACCACUUAAUGAAUGGGUACUAACAAAGCACAUCCAUUAACCAGAAUAUUUGUAUGCCUGCCCUAAUUAAGCUACAAUCUCUGGGAUUCACAAGUAGCAGACAAUGGAAAUACCACAAAAGAUACCCCUGUAUAGGACUGGUAGCCUGCAUCCUCAUUUAACACCUUGUUUUUUCAGGAAAGCAAUGAAUUAAAAGUUUAAAUUGUACUGAUUUCAGAAGAACAUAAACCCAUAAAUUGUAUUUGCUUACUUUGAAAUGGGCCAUUAACUCUCAGUAAUGUUCCUGUUAACUCAUUUCACUAACUUGAGCUGAGGCAGGAUAUCCUCAAAGUAUACUAUUUCAUCCAUUCUUGAGAUUUUCUGUUCAAUUUACAGAUGCUUUCUUCUUUGAAUUGACACUAAGCUCUCUUUGCUAAAAGCAUACUAGAGAAUAGAAGAAAAGAAAUCCUGAAAUGGCUACUUACACAGCUGAGAAAGUUGCAGAAUCUUUUGUAAAAUAGCCCCCAAACAGCUAUGCCUAGAAAAAGUCAUAACUUUAAUGCUGACUCAACUGACUUACAGUGCUGAAAAAUUCCACUGUACUACUUACUCCAAUAGUGAAGAUAUAUUUUUAAUAGAUAAGCAAGAAGAAGGCAGCAUUUGGGUUAUGGCUUCUUCCAGACUGGCAACAAGAAGGCUGGGAGGUUGAUUUAGCUAGUACAUCAAGAAAAAAGUCAC